rnacentral:lncRNA from 1 species
AGAGACUAGAUGGGUUCUUCCUUGUACGUUCAUUAUAACAGAUUCUUGUUCGUGUUUACGACUAACUUUACUAAUGAUGCUUCGAAGCUCUCGCGUAGGGAGCAUACUUCAACACGUGGGCUACAUUCGCCGGAAAAAAAAAAUACUCACGGAAUUGUAUUUUUUUUUUUCUUUUUUGCUCGACAAAUAAACAAACAUACUCACGGAAAGGAGAAAGUGGGUGAUUAUGUAGAAUGAGAAUAAUAAUAAUUAAUGAAAUUUAAAAUGUGAAAAAGGUGAGUCGCAUUCUCAAGUCAAGAAUCUUUUGUUAUUAUUCUUCUUCUUUUUUUCAUCGUAACCCGAACAUAAGAUUUGUUAACAAAAAAAAAAAAGGUUCGUUUUCUUACCACUUAUAGCUAGGCUUGUUUCAUAUUUUGUUAACAUUCAAUGUCUAGAUGAAGAAGAUUAGUCUUAAAAACUUUUAUUGAUUUUUGUUUUGUUGUUUUUUUCAUCGUUGUUACUUAUACCAAACGUCACAAAUCAACCUAAGUUUUUC